rnacentral:piRNA from 1 species
UGAUACUGGUAAUGAGGACAACCUCAGAGUGC